AUACGGAGGGUCCGAGCGUUAUCCGGAAUCAUUGGGUUUAAAGGGUCCGUAGGCGGGAAUCUAAGUCAGUGAUGAAAUCUUGCAGCUCAACUGUAAAAUUGCCAUUGAUACUGGAUUUCUUGAAUUAGUGUGAAGUGAUUAGAAUGUGUAGUGUAGCGGUGAAAUGCAUAGAUAUUACACAGAAUACCAAUUGCGAAGGCAGAUCACUAACACUAUAUUGACGCUGAGGGACGAAAGCGUGGGGAGCGAACAGGAUUAGAAACCCUAGUAGUCC
rnacentral:rRNA from 1 species